rnacentral:rRNA from 1 species
AGUGAACGCUGGCGGUAGGCCUAACACAUGCAAGUCGAACGGCAGCACAGUAAGAGCUUGCUCUUACGGGUGGCGAGUGGCGGACGGGGGAGGAAUACAUCGGAAUCUACUUUUUCGUGGGGGAUAACGUAGGGAAACUUACGCUAAUACCGCAUACGACCUACGGGUGAAAGCAGGGGAUCUUCGGACCUUGCGCGAUUGAAUGAGCCGAUGUCGGAUUAGCUAGUUGGCGGGGUAAAGGCCCACCAAGGCGACGAUCCGUAGCUGGUCUGAGAGGAUGAUCAGCCACACUGGAACUGAGACACGGUCCAGACUCCUACGGGAGGCAGCAGUGGGGAAUAUUGGACAAUGGGCGCAAGCCUGAUCCAGCCAUACCGCGUGGGUGAAGAAGGCCUUCGGGUUGUAAAGCCCUUUUGUUGGGAAAGAAGAGCAGCAGGUUAAUACCCCGCUGUUCUGACGGUACCCAAAGAAUAAGCACCGGCUAACUUCGUG